UCGACUCGCAUCAUCUGCUUCUCCUCUCGAUACUUUUUUUGUAAAUAAUUUGUAUAUUUUUAUGUAAAUAUGUCUUUUGUCGAAGAUAACUUAAGUGUGGUGUCGUCAUCUUCGGUACGUAAACAUAAGUCUCGCAAUAUUGUCGUUACAUUUGAGCACAAAUCGGAUAAGAUUGCAAUGACGUUUGAAUGGAUUAUGGAGAAUUAUCAGGUCGCACAUAAGCUUGCCGGGCUUGCAAAUUUACCACCGUGGAAAGUCUGCCUGUACGGAAUCCUGGAUAUUACGUCACGAAAUUCGAUCUCAAAUUGGGGUGAACUUUGCAGAGUUAAGUCACAACAACUUCAAAAUUGGAGCAACCAAUCAGGCGUGGGAAACGCCUGGCGUGGAUCGACGAACAUUAAUAACUUUGUCAGAACGUUUAGUAAUUUGUUCGUCACAGGAACAUUCAAAGGUCACCCAACAAGUGGAGCGAUCAAAGCAUUUUCUUGUUUUCUGGUAGCAGCCUUAGUGGAUUCUAAGCUUGGGACAGGUGGAGAAACUUUAGUGGAAUCUAAUCGCCUCGCCUUUCUUUUUGAAAACAACGCAUCGCUGAAGGAAGCUAUCGAUUUUUGGAAAUUAUGUUGGCCUCAGGUAGCGGAAAUUUGGUCAAGUUAUCGACCACAGCUGCCCGGAAUAUUCGCCGGAUACAGAUUUUCCCUUCCAAACAUUCCAACGGUUGAUAACCACUACCGUGGGUUAUUUAAAAUCAGCACAGUUGAACAGUUGAAUUCGAAAAUGUGGCCAUUCGAAACCUGGAAGAAAUUGAGCAAGAUGCCGGUAAAGAUGACACACGUAAGGAUCCUCUUGGUGUUUGUCACAUAAACCUGGCCAUUUCAAGCAUCGACAAGGUGCAAAAGUUACGUGAACAGAGGAAGAUACGCUUGCAAGAGGAAAUGGAUGAGCUCGACUCGGAAUUGCAUUCAAUGGAAGAUCGAAAGGACGAUCUUCACGUUCGUGCUGACAAUAAUUGCCUAUAUUACAAAAUGGUCGGAAUGAUGGCUGAAUCAUUCUGUAAGCAAAAGAAUCAUGAAUCUAUUUCGAUGACUAUACAUGGCGAAGCUUUGCUUCAUUGGAUUUCUCAGAAAUUGGACGUCAAGAUUCCAAAAGGAGUGCCCAUUAUUGAUGAUGAAUUCUUCCAAGGAAGCAUGUACACACCACCGGAUCCUGAUAACAGUGAUGAUGACAGCCAGGAUCCUCAACAACCACCCGAAACUCUGAGUAUAGUUCCAUUCCAACGGGGAAGCAAUUCGAAGACAAAUCAAGCAUUCUCCGAUGGACAUGUUAUCGUCGACAAUAUCGAUCAAGGAAUUUCAAAUAAGGAAUAUGCAAAAGUUUUGGCCAAGGGUGAAAAGUCAGCCACCAAGAGAAAGUCUUCACCUCCGUCACUAGAAGAAAUUUUUGUUGAUUUCGAAUUGGAUAAAAUGGUUUCAGCAAUUCACGAUAAAUUCGAUACGCUGAAUUCUGCUAGCCGUUCCGCAGAUACUGAAUUGGAUUAGUUUAGUUCUAAACUACUGAAUGAGAUAUGUGUACGUUUCUAAACAAAUUUUUGUGUCCAUAAUUUACUUUAUAUUGUUAAUCCGUUUUUUAAUUAUCGAGUUGUAUGCAUGUAUGUAUAUAAGUUUAAUUACUAAACUCUUUCGGGCGCAACUAACAUAGAGUUACGUGAUAUAAUGUAUAUGCUGUUGAAAUAUUAUGUAAGUAUCGAGUUUUAUAAUGUUUAUACUUGAGUUGUAUGCCCGCAAAUUAAAUCGUACAUGUGUAAUUCCCAAUUUCUAAUCUGCAUGCGCAUUACCUUGGCUUCUCAACUCAUGAUUAUUAUAUUUGUUUAUUAGCAAUUUGUUGAUCAGUUUUUUUCACAAUUAUUUAAUAUCAAAUAAUUCUAAUCUUACAUAUUUAGCUAUAUUUAACUAAUCCAUUUUGCAUAUACUGUAAUGCCUUUUUACAAAUCUUUACCAAUGCUAAAAAGUCUCCCCAUUGAGUUUAUUAUGAAGGAAAGUGAUCGAAUUUAUACACAUAUGUUAUAUACACUCAAUGUUAAAGUAAGCUAUAGAAAAGUGAAUUAACUUAUGAAGCAACUAUGUAAUAAUUAAUAUAUAAUAUGUAUAUGUACAUAUCACCAUGGACGCCAACUUCUGCUCAAUAAACUACUCCGCCAUUUUACCUUAGUUCACAUUCACAUGGAUUUUGAGUCUUUUCUGAUUACUAAAUAUAUUUUUCUUAACUUUUAACAAUUUUUACGAAAAAAUACUCCCUGUAACUGGUAAAUAUUGUAUUUAACAGCGAUGUACUAUUAUUAUUAUUACAUUGAUUGGAAUUCAAUUGACUUAAAUAAUUCGUAUUUAAGAGUCUUACUUAUAAAACACACCAUUUUAUAAAAAAGUCAUUACUACAUUAUACAUUUCUCAAUAAUUUAAUUGCAAUCUUAAUAUUUUUGCUAUUAUUUUAUUUAUAUAUUUCUGUAGCCUGGGGAAACAUUACGAAACCGGUCGCCAGUGAAAAAUUAUUCCAAUAAACAAACAUUUACAUUA